rnacentral:rRNA from 1 species
UACGGAGGGUGCAAGCGUUAAUCGGAUUUACUGGGCGUAAAGCGCACGCAGGUGGCUGAGUAAGUCGAUUGUGAAAGCCCUGGGCUUAACCUGGGAAUUGCAGUCGAUACUACUCAGCUAGAGUAUGGGAGAGGGCAGUGGAAUUCUCGGUGUAGCGGUGAAAUGCGUAGAUAUCGGGAGGAACAUCAGUGGCUAAGGCGGCUGCCUGGCCCAAUACUGACACUCAGGUGCGACAGCGUGGGGAGCAAACAGG